GCGGGAGGGGGGCUCCACGGAGCUCCAGCCAGGGCCGCGGUGCGCCUGCACGUCACGGCUACUCAAACCCAAGCACGUCCCGAAAGCGGUAUUUUCUGCGUCUGGGAGGUUUUUGCAUCCUCAGUUCCCACCGCUGGGGCUGGCGGCGACCAACUCGCAGACCUGUCGCAGCCAGAGAGCUGUCAUUUCAGUACCGGGAUUCAGAAUUGAUCCAGUCCGCAGCGGAGGGGGCACAUCCCAGCUACCGAGCUGCUGAGUGUCUCUGGCUGGAACAAUAGUAUUUUUUUCUCUGCGAGGCUGCAAUUAACAUCUUAUUUUUUCUGGCUCCAUACAGGCUUUGUCAGGAUCGCGGUGCGGCGACCGACGUUGGGCUCUUGCAUUGCUUUCUGCUUGGCAAUGGAAUCAUGGUUUCGGGAUAGUCAUUUUGCCUCCUGGACAGUUGGCUGACGAAGUGUCUGAUAAACCAGCUUCAGAUACAUGCUACAAAAGGCUACUGAGCUGGCCUGAUGAUGAUCCUGCUGAGAUAUAUUUAUAGCAGAUGAUUUGUGGAUGAUAACUACGCCAAGCAAGACACUGUCUCUAGUAACCCCAGGCUCGUCUGACUUCCUCAGGGGAUUAUAAUAAAGAAUCACAAAAAGAACCCUAUAUGGACAGUCUGGUCUCUGGACACUAACAACAGCACAAUCCAAAGGCAAAGCAAGGAGGAACCACCUUGUUUCAUGUCUGCAAGAUGCUCCAUAUGAAAGCAUUACUGACAUGUUGACCCAACAGCAAAAAGAGAGCAGCAGUUUACACACCCUCAGCUCUCUGUCCUUUCCUUUCUAUUGAUGUUGGUCCACUUUUAUGACUGAAUACAUAUUAAAAUCACC
rnacentral:lncRNA from 1 species